AGCUUCUGGGUUGGUGAACACGUGCAGAUUCUGGGAGAGUGGUGGGCACAGAGAGAACAGAAGCUUCACACCUCUUCCCACAUACCUUGCUCUAUGUGUCUCUCCCAUCUGGCUGUUCCUGAGUUAUAUCCUCUUAUAAUAAACCACUAAUCUAGUGGAUGUUAUUGUCCCUUAUGUUGCAUCGAGGCAGAUGACAUAGUCCUAGGGAUAAGAUGAGCUGCUUACAUUUGAAGUUAAAAUCAUACUUCUACCAACUUUGGUGUGUGAAAAACGGCACAGCAUUGGCACACUAUUGGAAAAGAGAAGCUUUAUUACAGAGAGGAACAAGAACUUAGAGCGACAAGAAACUCUAUGAACUAGGAGGCUCAGGAGUUCGUCGGGGAAGAGCCCCUUGGAUGAGAACAGGACCACUCCCUGGCCAGCGGAAUGGGAGCCCAUCAAAGAGACUCUUUUGGCUUCUUUUAUGGGAUGGAGGAAGAUGGUGCACUGAGUCUUCCUAAGAAAUGUACUACUCUUGAGUCCCAGAGACUGUCUUCUAUUUGUUUGUGCGUAAGGUCCAAAUGACUUUGUUUCUGCUCACAUUCAUUUCUGGUCCACAGAAUUUUUAAUUCAUUACGUUUCAUCUCAUAGAGCAUAAUGCUAACAGUGUCUUUAAACAUAGUUAGCUAUAAGAGGGCUAAUUUCUUAUCAAUGCCCAAAACUUCCUGUGAGAGGUUUGGCUGAUGAUUUCCCCCUUUCAUGUAAUAUAUAAGGUCAAAGUUUAAUAAAGUCCAGAGCCACACUCUAUAUGUCAUUUGGUAGUCUCUAGUCUAGAAUAUGUGUAUAUCCCAAUUUUUGAACAAUAAAAUUAUGAGGAAAAAGGACAUUGUAGUUGACUGGAUUGUUGGUUCUUUUUACAGACUCCUGAAGUUUUCUCUGUGUGUUACUUGGUGUCCGUGUCCCCAGCUCUGCAGUAAAAGUCUAAAGAAAAUGGAAUCCUUU
rnacentral:lncRNA from 1 species